UCCGGCGCCUGAGGAUGGCUCUGCGGCUUAUCAGGUUGUAGUGAGAGUAACGUCCUCACUAGCCUAUGACGGGUACGGGCCCUGAGAGGGGAUGCCCGGAGAUGGACUCUGAGACACGAGUCCAGGCCCUACGGGGCGCAGCAGGCGCGAAAACUCCGCAAUGCUCGAAAGAGUGACGGGGGGAUUCCAAGUGCCUACGCUUAGCGUAGGCUGUUCAGAUGCCUAAAAAGCAUCUGGAGUAAGGGCUGGGUAAGACGGGUGCCAUCUGUGGCAGCAGCCGAAGAUUUGGCUUGUUGCUGCAAGGCAUAAGCCGCCGCGGUAAUACCCGCAGCCCGAGUGGUAGUCGAUUUUAUUGGGCCUAAAGCGUCCGUAUCCGGUCUGAUAAAUGCCUGGGUAAAUCGUCUGGCUUAACCAGACGAAUUCCGGGUAGACUGUCAGACUUGGGACCGGUUGAGGAAGAGGGUACUUUAGGGGUAGGAGUGAAAUCCUGUAAUCCUUGAAGGACCACCAGUGGCGAAGGCGCUCUUCUAGGACGGGUCCGACGGUGAGGGACGAAAGCCAGGGGAGCAAACCGGAUUAGAUACCCGGGUAGUCCUGGCCGUAAACGAUGUGGGCUUUGCAUUGGGGGUUCUACGUGGGCGCCCAGUGC
rnacentral:rRNA from 1 species